rnacentral:rRNA from 1 species
GGGUUGUGAGGUUAAGCGACUAAGCGUACACGGUGGAUGCCCUGGCAGUCAGAGGCGAUGAAGGACGUGCUAAUCUGCGAUAAGCGUCGGUAAGGUGAUAUGAACCGUUAUAACCGGCGAUUUCCGAAUGGGGAAACCCAGUGUGUUUCGACACACUAUCAUUAACUGAAUCCAUAGGUUAAUGAGGCGAACCGGGGGAACUGAAACAUCUAAGUACCCCGAGGAAAAGAAAUCAACCGAGAUUCCCCCAGUAGCGGCGAGCGAACGGGGAGCAGCCCAGAGCCUGAAUCAGUAUGUGUGUUAGUGGAAGCGUCUGGAAAGGCGCGCGAUACAGGGUGACAGCCCCGUACACAAAAAUGCACAUGCUGUGAGCUCGAUGAGUAGGGCGGGACACGUGGUAUCCUGUCUGAAUAUGGGGGGACCAUCCUCCAAGGCUAAAUACUCCUGACUGACCGAUAGUGAACCAGUACCGUGAGGGAAAGGCGAAAAGAACCCCGGCGAGGGGAGUGAAAAAGAACCUGAAACCGUGUACGUACAAGCAGUGGGAGCACAGAGCAAUCUGUGUGACUGCGUACCUUUUG